UCAUGAGUGCUCACCUGGUAGAGGGAAGACCCUGAACGUCCAGACCGUUCCCCUGACCGGCCACGUGUGGACUCUUGGUGGCUCUGCUGUCUCAGCCCAGCCUUUCCGUGGCCUGACACUGAUUGUGUGUCUGAGUUUUCUGAAUGUCCCUCACUGUCACUGGCCUGACUACCGCUAGACCCCCGGUGUCCACGAUCGCUGACUGCAGAUGAAGCUUGCCCGCGCCCAGUGGCUGAGUGUCUGGAGCUGUCUGCUGACUGCUGGUGGCCGGAUCCAUGUCUUUCUCCUGGACUUGAUCUUGCCUGUUCAUGGGAUGAUGCAGUCUGUCCACGAGAGGAAGUCUCUGCGUGACGAGUGCCUGAUUGUCUGGAGCUGUCUGCAGAGUGCCCAUGACUGGCUCUGUCUUCAUCAUGGGACCUGGGGUGUCUGGAGCCAUCUCUUGACUGCUCCCACGCAGAUCCAUGAUGGUUUCUGGAAGCCGACCCAGAGUGCCUCUCAGAGUCUUCUGAGUGUCCCUCACUGUCCCUGUCCUGGCUAACUCUGGAUCCCCUACGCUUUCUUGUCCUGGACUCCUGCAAUGACUCAUAAUAUGCUUGAGCCAACUUGAAUACCAUCAGAAGAAACUCAGUGAAGUCAAUUUUCUUGUUGUGGUCUAUAUCCAAGUGAUCCAUGAAGACAUCAACCAUAUCUGGGUCAUCUGGAUUCUGUACAGAGGGAAGUCACAGAGGGAGACUGCAUCAGACAGAAUCACAUUAUCAGCCAAUUAAUUCAAAGUUAAUUUAAGGAACCUGAUCUUUGAGUAUUAAAAAGUGGGACAAAAUCUUUUUUUUUUUUAAGACUUUUUUGUCUCAUCCUCAUUCAGGUGUUAUAUGUGAACAAAGAUGUAGACUAGUAAGGUAUCAAGAUUUGAUGGGGAUAUCCAGACAACUUGGAGCCAAGUCCCCACAGCUGGAUCAGACAACUUUUGGUGACAUCUCACAGUGUGGAUUAUCAAGCCAGUGUAUCAGUCUGGAGCCUAGGUUUUUUGCCUUUAGCUUUGCUCAGGAUGACUUCUGCUCUUCUAUGGCAAUACUUGAGAAGCUACAGCUUUGAUUAGACGAGAGGCUAUUUCAAUAACUUUCUCCUGAUAAGAAGACCACCGACCGUGGACGGAUUCUGGCCAGUUUACAAAGGCUGCAUACCAUAGGGCAGGGCACCCCACUAUGGCAAACACUAAUAAUGAUAUUGCUCCUGAUUUUGUUUCUGAAGGGAAUGCCUCUAAGAUUUCUUCAUUAAUUAUAAGAGACUGGGUCUCACUCUGUUGCCCAAGCUGGAGAACAGUGGCACCAUCAUAGCUCACUGCAGCCUUCAACUUCUGGGCUCAAGUGCUUCUCCCACCUCAGCCUCCCAAGUAGCUGGGACAACAGGUGAAAUUGAAGGCCAGCUUUUGGAACUCAACCUUCAAAGGAACUUAAAAUUUCCAUUAUGUAGAGUCCCUGAGGAAACUGGAUCCACUAGCUACACUGGCUGAGAAUGCUCUCACCCCAGGAUUUCAUUUUUAUUUUACCACAUCAUUGUUGGUAUCUUAAGAUCAAUGUACUGGAGCAGCGGGGUCUCACAAAGAGGAUACCUGGUGACACGCCCAGGCUUUCAGAAUGCACUAUAGGGCUUUAGUGACUUGUCCAGGUUCAGCUGAAAUGUGCCAUCUGGGACCUACUAAUGCUUGUUGAACUUUACUGGAUCUCAGAAGCUGGGUCUCAGAAGCUCAGAUGUUCCUCAGAGCUACGAUAUCAACAACCUGUGAUGACAGAGAGAAGGUUGCUCCAUGAUGGAUUUGGAAACUUACUGGCUAGCUAAACCUGACUGAAUGGGAAGGAAUGUGGAUAGCUUUGGAACUCUAGUUUCACUAGAUGAGCUGGAAUUUGUAUUUUGACAAAUUGCACGUUAUGAUUAUUAAGUAAUGCAACUGAUUUUUUUUUCCCUUAAAACAAACAAUCUAGAAUCUGUGUAAUCAAAAUAAUUUCUCUAAAAGGCUGCAAGUAUAUGCUUAAAGUGUUGGGGCAUUCAGAGCAUUUGGAACAUUACAUUCUUUUGAAUGUCAAUUGGUAGAUGAAAAUACCAGCUUUUAAGUCAUACAUUUGAUUUUUUGAAACAAUAUGCAUUUAGAGUUUGUAAGUCAAGUGAAUAACUGAUAAGGUAAAAAAAAGGGGGAGUUCAUUGUUGAGUAUGAAUUUAAAGUAACCAGACUGCCUUUUGUCCAGUGGCUGUCAGUAAUUUACUUCAGCAGGCAUUUUUUUUUUUUUGAGGCUGUUCUAUGAUAUCAUGACCCUUCUUGUAGGAAUGUGCUUCCAGUGGUGAGGCAGUCUGAGAAUGUGUGAAGCAGUAUAAUGAAGCCAGACCAAGAUGGAAGCUUGGCCUGGGAUUUGAGCAUCAGGAAAACUGUUGAAGGGUUAUGUAUACAUCACACACACACACACACACACACACACACACACACACACACACACACUCUCUUCCAUACUCCUAUAACAACGUAUAGUAUUUACUAUACCUGGUGACAGGUAUUUACUAUACAUUGUUGAAGAUCUAUAACAUGGAAUGCCUAGUGCUAAGUGCAGUGUCCUUAGUGAAAUUGUAUUGGUUUGGAAUUAUUUAUGAGUUUGGGAUUAUUUGUCACUACCCUUAAAUGAUCUUGACACUCACCUAUUUGAAAAGAUAUUGAGGAUUUGCCAUUUGAUAUUGACCAGGGUGUAUUGUGCACAAAUAUUGUGAAUAUACAUCUGUCUGUCCUUAAAUCACUGUAAGUUUUAACUGGAAUAGAUUUGCUCCACAUUACUCGGUAGGGCUGAUAUUUCAUGCCUCAUGGAUGAGAAAAGAAUAGGCAAAAAUUAUAUCUCGGGCUGCCUCACACAUCUUUUAACAGGAUAAGGGAAAAAUAAAUAUAAGACCUAUGAGUUAUGGCAUCAGGCUUGAACUUUAAUUUAUGAAUUAAACCAACAAUAUUAUUGAUUAUUGCAAUUAUCUAUCUUAAUUUCAUUUGUUCUCCUUUUAAAAAUUAAUUAUGUUUAUUUUACCUAUUGUGAAUAAAGUCACUCCUCCCAUGUGCUUAUUUCUUGACUCUGGCACUAAUUAUUCUUCAGUGCCUAGAUUUCCUGGGACUGCUCAGUUUAAGUAACUUCUGAACAUUGGUCUCUGAGAGAAAAGACAGUGAAGUGGGAUCUGUGGAAAAACACAUCUGCAAAUGUCUCAUUUUUUUCUUCAGGGGUAAGUUUUCUUCCUUGGAGACUCUUGUCUUGAAAAAGUGAUACUAGAUCACCAUUUGGCAAGAUAAUUACAAAAGGCAGAUAGAGUAAUUAUUUUACAUAGCUGUUAUAGGGUGACUAAGAUCUCAGGGAAUGACUGUGUUCUGUAAUCCACUUGCCCCACUCAAUACCCCAAGUUUUAUACAAGCCAAAGAUGCUUGGAGCAGAAUCUGCUACCUGAGGCUCCAGGGCCUUGGCCUAGGGAAACUAAUACUUAACUUUUUAAGUGGUCAUUGAUGACAUCCCACUCCUUUCUGAGAUGGGUAUGAUUUGAAAGGCAGGUGUAUUCAUGGAGAGCAGGGCUUGGGACCUUUGCUGCAAGAGGAGGAACUAUUAGCCUAGACUUUUCUAAUAAGGACUUUCUCAUACCUGUUUCCUAGAUCUGGUCCACAUAGAAGAAAUCAGGGAACACACAGGGUAGGACUCUUAAAGGAGUAUGUUUCUUGGCUUUUUCCUAAAAACUAAAACAAAAACAUUCAUAGCAAAGCAGUUUAGCCCAGUGACUAAGAGUAUAGACAUUGGAAUCUGAAAGAUCUGGGUUGGAAUUCUGCUUCAGCCAUUUACUAAUUAUGUAACUUCACAUCUCUGAGAAUGGGGGAAAUUUUCUUUGCAGGGUUGUUACAAAGCUUAAAAGAGUUAAGUCAAGUGCCUGGAACAGAACAGCCAUUCAAUAAAUCAUAGAAAUUUUUGUUUUUACACAAAUUUUUAAAAAGUAAUAUUUUUUGCAUUUGUUAGAAAGACUAUAUUUUCUGUUUAGUGGAUGACAUCAUCAUCAUAAAAAUCACUGUUACAAGUUUUGUUUUGAGAAUUAAAAUCAUAUAUUAAUCCCAA
rnacentral:lncRNA from 10 species